rnacentral:rRNA from 1 species
UGAGGAAUUUUGCGCAAUGGCCGCAAGGCUGACGCAGCAACGCCGCGUGGGUGAUGAAGGCCUUCGGGUCGUAAACCUCUGUCAGAAGGGAAGAACGGGUGAUGGUCUAAUAGGCCGUCAUUUUGACGGUACCUUCAGAGGAAGCACCGGCUAACUCCGUG